rnacentral:lncRNA from 1 species
GGAUGUAGCUCAACGUGAAAGCCUUGGGUUCAUCCCCAGUACUGAAAAAGAGAAAGGCACGCGUUUGGAGCCACCAAGCUGGAAUCUUCCCUCUCUGGCUCGAUGCUUCCCAGGGCACUGGCUUGAGGCUGUUUCUCUGCCUGGGCCGUGGGGACAGGGCUGUCCGUGACUGCACUGAGCGCAACCCGUCUUUUCCUGCCAGGGGAAGUUGCUGCUGAGCCCAGGGUCGGCUCCACACCAGGAGCUCCAGGGCCACAGAGAAAGGCCGUGCCCUACGGGUGGUCACUUCUGUCUUUAUCUUUCUUCCUGCUUUUCCUGUUGGGCUCAGGAAAAAUACCCAGGCCUGGCAGCCUCUGUCUCUGGAAGCUGGGAGCCAGUGUAUCACAGGCUGUGUGCUGGUUUCCUUAAGCUUCCUGGAUCCCAAAGGAAGCUGGAGGAACUUGUGCGCCAGUCAUCAGCAAAGCCCGGACACCCAGCUGAACGAAUCCCUCAGUGAGCUGCCCACGAGCCCUCAGGAGUCCAGCUCAUGCCUAGUGCUCUUCCCAGCAUGGACAGCUGGGGCUACUGGGCCUGGCCUCCUGAUGAGGUUCAAGUGGAAGCUGUUUCAGUCUGGUUUUUGGUUGACGAGAUGUCCAGCUGAGCAUGACUAA